UAGCCCACAGGGAACCCCGAGAGUGGGACCCAUGCCAGCAGAACACAUGCAUCCGGCCCGACGGGGCCAGCCGAGGCAGCGGCGUUAACUGCAGCUGCCGGGAGAGCGGCGCUGAUAGCAGCACCGGCAGCAGCAGAGAGAGCUGCCACGUUAAAGGAGCCGGGGGAGAGAGCUGCGGCUAUAGCAGUGAAGAGUGCGCUCUUAAAGGAGCCGCGGAUAAAAAGGAAGAGAACGUCGGCAGCACGACAGGAGGAGGAACUGGUUACUGUCAUAGCAGGAGUGCGGGUGGCGGAACCGAAACAUCAACUGAAUAAUGAAAGUCAUGCAGUGAUUGGUGGCUUGCAGUUUUCCAGAUUGGAAGCAUUGAGUCAGUGGCCUCGAGGAUUUAUGAGUCAAAUGUCUCCUCUUGUGUAUUUUCUGAGAGAUGUAGCCAGCAGAAACAAAAACAUCUAAAACAAAAGUGGGGACUUGUAGUAACAAGCUGAAUUGGAAUGUAAUCACAAUCCAGCUGUCUUCACAACAGGAUUCUGAAUGGGAAGAGCAUUUGAAAAGGGGAGCAUAAGCAACAAGUACAAUAAUCAUAUUAAUUCAUGCAUUGAAAUACACAAAUGGAAUUUUCUAGAUGAAUUCAAGAAUACUUCUUUGUACAGAAAAACAUAAAUAAAGUUUAAUCAAAGUAUUGGUUUAAUCUUUGUGAAAUUAAUAUUGUAAGUAUGGGAAAUCA